rnacentral:rRNA from 1 species
GCCCCAGACUCCUACGGGAGGCAGCAGUAGGGAAUUUUGCGCAAUGGGGGAAACCCUGACGCAGCAACGCCGCGUGAUUGAUGAAGCCCUUCGGGGUGUAAAGAUCUGUCAGUGGGGACGAAACUUGACGGUACCCACAGAGGAAGCCCCAGCUAACUACGUGCCAGCAGCCGCGGUAAUACGUAGGGGGCAAGCGUUAUCCGGAUUUACUGGGUGUAAAGGGAGCGUAGACGGCAGCACAAGUCUGGAGUGAAAUCCCGGGGCUUAACCCCGGAACUGCUUUGGAAACUGUGCGGCUGGAGUGCAGGAGGGGUAAGCGGAAUUCCUAGUGUAGCGGUGAAAUGCGUAGAUAUUAGGAGGAACACCGGUGGCGAAGGCGGCUUACUGGACUGUAACUGACGUUGAGGCUCGAAAGCGUGGGGAGCAAACAGGAUUAGAUACCCCAGUA